rnacentral:rRNA from 1 species
CCUACGGGUGGCAGCAGUGAGGAAUAUUGGUCAAUGGACGAGAGUCUGAACCAGCCAAGUAGCGUGAAGGAUGACUGCCCUAUGGGUUGUAAACUUCUUUUAUAAAGGAAUAAAACGAGGCACGUGUGCCUUUUUGCAUGUACUUUAUGAAUAAGGAUCGGCUAACUCCGUGCCAGCAGCCGCGGUAAUACGGAGGAUCCGAGCGUUAUCCGGAUUUAUUGGGUUUAAAGGGAGCGUAGAUGGGUUGUUAAGUCAGUUGUGAAAGUUUGCGGCUCAACCGUAAAAUUGCAAUUGAUACUGGCAGUCGUGAGUACAGUUGAGGUAAGCGGAAUUCGUGGUGUAGCGGUGAAAUGCUUAGAUAUCACGAAGAACCCCGAUUGCGAAGGCAGCUUACUAAACUGUGACUGACUUUGAUGCUCGAAAGUGUGGGUAUCAAACAGGAUUAGAUACCCCUGUAGUC